rnacentral:rRNA from 1 species
ACUGAGUGGCAGACGGGUGAGUAUAAUGUGGGAAUCUGCCUUUUGGUUCGGAACAACACGGGGAAACCUGUGCUAAUACCGGAUAAGUCCUUACGGAGAAAGUUUUAAUGCCAAAAGAUGAGCCCGCAUUUGAUUAGUUUGUUGGUGAGGUAAUGGCUCACCAAGACUGCAAUCAAUAGCUGAUUUGAGAGGAUGAUCAGCCACACUGGGACUGAGACACGGCCCAGACUCC